rnacentral:misc_RNA from 1 species
GUAACAAGGUUUCCGUAGGUGAACCUGCGGAAGGAUCAUUAAAUAAUCAAUAAUCUUGGCUUGUCCAUUAUUAUCUAUUUACUGUGAACUGUAUUAUUAUUUGACGUUUGAGGGAUGUUCCAAUGUUAUAAGGAUAGACAUUGGAGAUGUUAACCGAGUCAUAAUCAGGUUUAGGCCUGGUAUCCUAUUAUUAUUUACCAAAUGAAUUCAGAAUUAAUAUUGUAACAUAGACCUAAAAAAUCUAUAAAACAACUUUUAACAACGGAUCUCUUGGUUCUCGCAUCGAUGAAGAACGUAGCAAAGUGCGAUAACUAGUGUGAAUUGCAUAUUCAGUGAAUCAUCGAGUCUUUGAACGCAACUUGCGCUCAUUGGUAUUCCAAUGAGCACGCCUGUUUCAGUAUCAAAACAAACCCUCUAUCCAACUUUUGUUGUAUAGGAUUAUUGGGGGCCUCUCGAUCUGUAUAGAUCUUGAAACCCUUGAAAUUUACUAAGGCCUGAACUUGUUUAAUGCCUGAACUUUUUUUUAAUAUAAAGGAAAGCUCUUGUAAUUGACUUUGAUGGGGCCUCCCAAAUAAAUCUUUUUUAAAUUUGAUCUGAAAUCAGGUGGGAUUACCCGCUGAACUUAAGCAUAUCAAUAA